CCUACGGGAGGCUGCAGUGGGGAAUAUUGGGCAAUGGGCGCAAGCCUGACCCAGCAAUGCCGCGUGAAGGAAGAAGGCUUUCGGGUUGUAAACUUCUUUUAUCAGGGACGAUGAAAGUGACGGUGCCUGAUGAAUAAGCCACGGCUAACUACGUGCCAGCAGCCGCGGUAAUACGGAGGUGGCAAGCGUUAUCCGGAUUUACUGGGUGUAAAGGGCGUGUAGGCGGGAGUGCAAGACAGAUGUGAAAUCUAUGGGCUCAACCCAUAGACUGCAUUUGAAACUGUACUUCUUGAGUGCUGGAGAGGCAAGCGGAAUACCGAGUGUAGAGGUGAAAUGCGUAGAUAUAGGGUGGAACACCAGUGGCGAAGGCGGAUUGCUGGACAGUAACUGACGCUGAGGCGCGAAAGCGUGGGGAGCAAACAGGAUUAGAUACCCUAGUAGUC
rnacentral:rRNA from 1 species